AGCAGCCGCGCUGGGGGCGCCCGUCGCGGGGCAGUGGCGGCCCGGAGUCCAGGGCCUCGUCCCCCGCCCCCCAAGGAUUCUGCAGCUGGCGCCCACCCCAGGGCCUUCUGCGCGGCCCUGCAGGAGCAGGAGCGCGGGGGGCAGAGUGACGCCGGCUGUGAUGGGGGCUUACGGAGCGGGCCAAGGUCUUGAGUCGCUGUCUUCCGGCUGGUCUCCGCCUGUCCCUCCUGGAUCCAGCAAAUGCUCAGCCUGAGCCUCUCACCACACGGAUGGUGAUAAGGAGAGAGAAGCCGACCCAGGACACCUGGGCCCUGAUGACCACACCAGAUCGGAAAUAGGCCUGAGGGGCCCACAGUAUUCAGUGGGGCAUUCCUUGGGGAGCCAGGUGCUACCAGCAUUUCCUGCCACAUCACGGAACCCAGGACAAAGAAGCUGGCAGUGUCACAGAAUGAGAAGCUUUCUCUGGGCCCCC
rnacentral:lncRNA from 1 species